rnacentral:rRNA from 1 species
GACGAACGCUGGCGGCGUGCUUAACACAUGCAAGUCGAACGGAAAGGCCCUGCUUUUGUGGGGUGCUCGAGUGGCGAACGGGUGAGUAACACGUGAGUAACCUGCCCUUGACUUUGGGAUAACUUCAGGAAACUGGGGUUAAUACCGGAUAGGAGCUCCUGCUGCAUGGUGGGGGUUGGAAAGUUUCGGCGGUUGGGGAUGGACUCGCGGCUUAUCAGCUUGUUGGUGGGGUAGUGGCUUACCAAGGCUUUGACGGGUAGCCGGCCUGAGAGGGUGACCGGCCACAUUGGGACUGAGAUACGGCCCAGACUCCUACGGGAGGCAGCGGUGGGGAGUAUUGCACAAUGAGCGGAAGCCUGAUGCAGCAGCGCCGCGUGCGGGAUGACGGCCUUCGGGUUGUAAACCGCUUUCGCCUGUGACGAAGCGUGAGUGACGGUAAUGGGUAAAGAAGCACCGGCUAACUACGUG